GCCGGCGUGGCGGAACUGGCAGACGCAAGCGACUCAAAAUCGCUCGAGGGCAACCUCUUGUGGGUUCGACUCCCACCGCCGGCA
rfam:Elusimicrobia bacterium RIFOXYD12_FTLL_66_9 rifoxyd3_full_scaffold_3301, whole genome shotgun sequence.